GCUGCUAUCGUGCACACAGAACACCACUAUAAUCAGAUGAACAAAAGUAAAUCCAAAACUCAAAAAUAUAAAUCCCUAUUUUUCUGAGGUAUAUUGUCUCCCCAUAUUUAUGAUUAGAACUGGUUGGUGAAAGGAACAAUUAAAUUCAUAAAUUUUAAUUUGUAGAUAAGCCCAAACCCGCUAUUCCCAGGAGUUAUCAAUGAAACACAGAAAUCUUAGCUACAUUAGGACUUCCAUAGGCUUUAAUAAGUGAUUUAUUAACAUUCAUCAUCAGCAAUGUCUAAAAAAGUAGAAGUUCCAAUCUUAUCCAUAUACUACUUUCAGUUAUCCUUAAUGCUCUUCAAAUGAUUGGAUUACGAUACCUAAAGUAUCCGAAAAGUGUGGUACAAAAUUCUGCUCUCUGUUGAGAGCCUGCCCACCAGCGCCAACACCAAGCAGCCACGACCUCGACAGGCACCUCCACACCACUAAUAGCAACACAAACUGCAACACAACACUAUUGCGUACCAAAAAUCGGGAGAGUUAGAGCGCUGCCGGUAGAGAGUCAUUACUGUAGACGACGACAUUGCUUAAUUUCCCCCCACUAUUGAUAGUCGACGGUCAAGAGGUGAGAAUCGAGAGAAAUGUAGAGAGAGAGAGAGAGUAUUGGGAAUUAAUUAGGGUUUGUACAAUGGAGUAUAUAUAUUUAAUAAAAUUUUUAUUUUAAAAAAUAUUAAUUAAAAUAAAAUCUCUGAUUUUUGAAAUGUUAAACUCCUCAUCUUAUUUUAGAAUUGUGAUUUUUAAUAUAUGGAAUUGUGUAAUUUCCACUUAUAAUAUUAUAUCUAGGGUUCAAGUUUUAAUCUACUCAAUAAUUUUUGCAAUUUAUUAAAAUUGUUAAGAACAUAUUAACAUCCCACACAUUGCAGUCAUAACUAUUAAAAAUUGAGUAUAUGAUAUUUUGACUGACUACUGCUUGUCAUCCAAAAUUACAAUAGUGAAAUUAAAUUUUAUUUUUAAUUAUCUAGGGUUUAGAAUUUAAACUUGGUAUUAGGACAAGUACUUCUAAAAAAGUGUGAUGCACGAAAAACCUAGUAAUGGACGGUGCACCAUUUAAACCUCAUGUCUUAGACGGGACGAACUAUUCAUAUUAGAAGAUUAGGAUGUAGGUCUAUGUCUAGUCCUUAAAUGAAAAAGCUUGACAUUCCGUAAUGUAUUGUUAUAAAACACCCACUAUAACUAAAAAUGAAAAAGAAAGAGAGCGGAGCUACAUAUUUUAUCAAUGCUAGUUGGAAGGGUAAUUUGUGGUGGUAUGUAAGAGUGGAGUUUGAGCAGAAACAUUUAGAAUCGGUCGUGGUUAUAGAGGUACAAAGUUUUGGAUUAAUAGGAAAUUCUUAUUAGAGAAGUGACACUGUUACCAUGUAAGAUAGGUAUAACAAUGAAAAUUGAGAAAAUAUUAUACGUGUUAUUGAUCAUCUCAAACCUAUUUGCAGUACAAGAAUUUCAAACACUUUUACAAUGAGUACAAUAUGUAACAUCUACCAAUCGAAUAUGUUUCAUAUUCACAAGUAUUAUCUAUAAGAUAAUGCGACUCGGUAUCGCUAAUGAUACAUAUUAUCUUUAAAUGUUCUCCAAGAGAUUGGGAUUUUAACAGUAUUAUCUAUAAGAGAUUGUAAUUUGUAGUUACGUUUGAUAGGUGAUCCAACUUAUUUCAUAAAUUGAGAUUUACUGUGGUAAAUCAAGAAUCAAAAUAAAUUGUAAUUAAUAAAUUAACAUGGAUAAUGAUAAAUAGUACUUGAGCAAUAUCUAGAUUGAAUCAAAAUAAAAAAUUAUAAAUGAUAUAUUAAAUUAAUAAACAACUCAAUAAACUACAAAGCUUUUUAACUUUCUCCGAAAGUUUUAAUUUCCGUAAAUAUUCGAUGUAAAUCUUUUCCAUCUAUGACCUUGUCUCCUCUAUUCAAAAAAUUAACGAUUUUUAUGAUAUGAGAAAUUGAGUUGUCAAUAUUUGAAACGAUCCAAAGCAACAAAAUUAAAGAACAAUGACCAUUGAAUAACGUCUUUGAAAAUAUAGUGAAAUAGCGAUGAAUGGUUGGAUGGAAAUGGGUCAUAGUUUUGUCAUGGUCUAGCCUAAAGUAGAACUGAACAUGAUAUAACGGGCCUUGAAUCUAGUAAGAAAGAGGAGAGUUGGGUCUGACCCAUCUGGUUUCAAGUAAGCAGCUCCUGAGAUUAUUAAAAAAGAAAAAAAAAGAAAAAAAGGAUAAGUUAGGUAAAAAAAUCAUAAGUCAAGUAUUAAGUAUGCAUUAAAUCAAUUUAGACAUUAAGUUUUAAAAUGCAAAAGUCAGAUGUUAAUCUGUUUUAACUUUUAAAUAAUAAUAUUAUCAAAUUAAAUUAAGUUACCCGCAACCACCCGUCCUGCACAUCACGCACCCACUGGUCACCAUCCCUUCCUAUAGUCAUCGACAUUCACCCACCACGAGCAUCCAACCUGCUGUGUAACUUCUUUAGCAGCAAACAUGAACAUAGCCGACUCAAAUAGUAAAGAUAGAGGGAGAAAUAACGGCAUUUGGAGAACAUUAAUUGAGCAUUGUCUGUGAUUGAUCAUUCUCUUUAUCCACGAUUCGACAGUGCUAUUUAUAAUUUAAAAUGAUUUUAUAAAAUUGAAAAAAAAAACCCGGAUGGAAUUUACAAAAUACUUUUAAAGCAAAUAACUUCAAUUUUCAUUGUCGAAAUUGAUUAAUUGAAUUUGUGACAGUGAAUAAGUAACUUAUGCACUUGACAUGUGACCUAUGACCUGAUUUAAUGGCCUAUAAACAAAUCCUUGAGGCUAUGACCAAAAUUCUUGAGUUUGUGACCAUGACCAAAUCUAAUGACGGUGAACAAAUUUCUUAGAUCUGUGACUUGUGACAUAAUCUAAUAGCAUGUGAUCAAAUCUCUUGAAUUUGUGACUUGUGAUAUAUGCAAUUUGAUAGGUCAUAUAUUCAAUAGAUUUGAUCACAGAAACUCAAUCGAUUGUGAUAUACUCAUCGCCUCCAUCACCACUCGUUGACCUUGACCCACCAUCAACAUUCCACCACAACCACCGCUAUCACAUACAUUAUCACCAUCACAAUUAAUAACCCAAAGACUAAGUAAAUCAACAACGUCAAAACUUCGAUAAAGCGUCCGAUCGAAGGAAGAAACAUACCAAAAGCAUGGCAGCAGCCUAUGACAACACAGUGUUGCUAUCGCUGUGAGCGGCAAUAGUGGCGUGGCAAUGACGACGACAUCAUCAUGCCGGCUUAUAGUGGAGAACCCAAAGCCAGAUACCAAAUCUCAAGUCUUAACAAAUUGAGAACAUGGGUGUCAUUUAAUCUGGAUCGAGCCCAUCUGAAACCAAGUCGGAAUCUUGAUUUUCUGACUAGGUUCGCUUGAGAUGGGGCUCAUCAGAACCGCUGCUGCACGACGAGAGAGAACGUGAGUGAGAGAUAAGAUGAGAGACUAUUUUUAAUUUUGACUAACACCUGAUUCAUGCUCAAGUAAACUUAAUACCAAAUUUUAAAAUUGACAUCUUUAAACAUCUGUUGUGUUGUAAUUUCCACAAAAAAGUCAAAGAAAGUGAGUCCUACAUUGAAUUGAAGAUAAUUAAGGAAAAUAUCUUUUACUUCUCUUUUUGUUCAUCCUCCAUUUAAUGGACCGAUCUACAAUCCGAUGACAAAGUUACCAUAAUCUAGCGCACACUACAUGCACAGGAAAUAAGCAUAUACUUUCAAACAUUCAUGAAAGUGAAUAAACACGUAUAAUUUACAACUAAUAUCUAUUUAUUCGUCUACUGACAUAUAACCUUCUUAUUUUCAAAACUCUGCCCAUCCUUUUGGCGACAACGGCUAAUUCCAGAUACAAAAAAUUCAAAAAUAACAACAAAUUAUGAGACAAGGAAUGGCUACUCCAUAACCUGGACAUUCCAGGCUAAAGAGAGAAGUAAUGCAAGUAAAAUUUUCACAGCUUUUCAAUAUUUAGUUUUAUGGAUCAAGGAGCAAGUACAAGGACUUUAAUCGUCCCUUGACUGUUUGCUGCUAACAUGGUCGGACUAUCACUUUUCCAACAAACAGCACUAAUGAAGUAUAAACUGGCAUCUUCAUCGGCUUCAUCAGUAUCAGAACUGAAUCUAUGCCAAGCUGCUGGUUUUGAAAUAGCCUGUACGAUACCCAAAUUCGAUUCAACAUCACAUUCCACUACGAGAGAUGGUCUAAUUUCAAGUGUCAAAUGACUUUUUUCGUCAAACAUCAACAUACCUUGUGAUAGACACACACUUCAUUUGUUUCACUGCCACAGGCUAUAUAUUCACUGUUUACUGUUAGACCCACAAAAUUCUUCUCAUUCGCAUGUCCUCUAAAUGUGCGUACCUGAAGGAGAAAUUCACUAGCGCGAAAUGAACCUCAACAUUCUCAAAGAGUGAUUCAAUGAAUUAAAUAUUACUUGUACAACCACCACAUAUCUUCCCCAAGAAAAAAGACCAUCCCAGUCCAGAUUGGAGCUUGAGACAAAAUAAAAGAUUAAACAAGCAGAGCAUUUAUUCAGUUUUUUUCAAUCCUUUUAUCUAAUUCGAUUGCAAAAUUUUUGAGGCUCAAACUGGAUUAAGGGAAAAGAUGAUUGAACUUUCACGUGCUUCAGUUCCUAUACUUACCGAAGAAAAAAUAUUUGAUAAUAAAAUAGGAAUAACAUUAAAAAAUUAUAGCCUAGCAAGGAUCAUCAGUUACCGGCACAUUUUGCUUAACGUCCCAGAGGCGCAAUGUACUGUCGGUAGAUGCAGAAGCAAGCUCGUUAUCUGAUAAAAAUUUUACAUAAGAAACAGCUUUCCUAUGCCCACUGAAAAUAUGCAACGGCUGGCUAGUAUUUCUCAAGUCAUAAUAAUGAAUGUGAUGAUCUGCAGAACCAACCUACAAGAUACACAAGUAUUAGACCUCUGGUGUAGAAUUUAUCUUGCUAGUAUGUUCUGAAUGAUUUUCACUAAGCUCAUAGGACAAUAAAUGAUGAACUUACUGCCACGUUGAUACUAGAUCCGGGAUUAUAUUUGACAGAACAUAUAUUGGCUUUCAUGUCAAUAUUCAGAACACUCGCUUCUUGGUUUGUACACCAAACUUUGACCUGGUGAACAUUUGAUAUUAGGUUGACAUAUAUUCAUUUAUCAAGAUAACUUACUCCACAAAGAUGAGUUCCAUUUUAAAAGAAAAUCUUUAAUAGUUCAGAAACGGAUUUCAUACAGUUCGAAAAAUAAGUCAUCCUCACUUAAUUCUUGAAAAUAAACAUGUUCUGGACAUAUUACACUUGGUCCUAUUGGCAAUGUUCCAAUUUUCCUUUCAAAAUACUAUCAUCACAAUGAAACACGAAAAAUGUAAACUGCUCACUAGAAAUGGGGGAGAGGCUUUCUGAAGGACAGAUAAUAUUUUCACAAAACAAACGAUGCACCUCAAGAAUAAUUAAAUCAAAAUUCAAGCACCUUGCAAUCAUCACUCCCAGAUACAAGCAUUGAAGGCUCCGUACGUGAGAAAUCAACACUCCAAGCUCGUUUUUCAUGCUCCUCAUACUCCAUCACACUCUAAAUAGAUAUAAAUAAAUUCGUAUUUUGAGAGCGCGUUCAGCUAAGCAUGACCACAUUUUUGCACGACCAAGGGAAAACAAGCAGACAAAUUAUCAGCCUUAGAUAAUACCUGACGUGUAGUCACAUCCCAAACAGUUACUAUGCCCUCAUAGUCACUACUGGCUAUGUGAUUUUUUGUGUACUUGUUCCAACUUAAACAGCUGAGUUUGGAUCGUGUGGACAUUUCCACAACAGGACAUUGCACGUUGGCUGGUUCGUUAACCACCUGGAGAACAAUAAUCAUGUAACCUUUUUCUUGUGAAACAAAAAAUGUAAUCGUCAGAAGAUAAUGUUCAUAAUACAAUGUCUUGCUAAGAAAGUUAGCACCCGAAAAGUUAACUGAAGCCUCAUUUAAGAAUUUCAUUUCCAUAGAAAAUUGAAUGUAUAAAGCCAAAUUUUAUUGUAAAUAAAUAAAAAACUGGCAUCCAUAUUUUGUAUAUAGUCCAAAAAAUUCUAGAUGAAAUUUGAAGCAACCAUGCCUAUUUUAUAAACAAAUGUCCCAUCCUACAGUAUAAAAAUGUCAAAUGAUGUAUAUGAACAGGUCCAUUCCAAAAAUGCCAAUCUACACCAUCUCAUUCAAGUUUUGAAACAUUUUCCAAAUACUAACCGAUGAGAACUCAAAAACCUUGAUACGCCUUGAUACUCCAGCAGUAGCAAAUAAUUCAUCAUCUCUGUCAAAUUCUAUACUGCAACAGUGAAAAAAAAAUUGAGGCAUAAUAUGGGUAAACCUUCCACAAGACUGAGAGAAGUCUGAUAAGAAACAAUUCGAAAGAUAUUAUAGUCAUUAUUUGAUUCAAAAGAGGGGAAAAAUGAAAGACCUCAAGGUUUCAAGACUCCUCAGAGCACAUUUUGUCUAAAUUUUUUCAGAUUUCAGAUGGCGGCUGCUAUCGUGCACACAGAACACCACUAUAAUCAGAUGAACAAAAGUAAAUCCAAAACUCAAAAAUAUAAAUCCCUAUUUUUCUGAGGUAUAUUGUCUCCCCAUAUUUAUGAUUAGAACUGGUUGGUGAAAAGAACAAUUAAAUUCAUAAAUUUUAAUUUGUAGAUAAGCCCAAACCCGCUAUUCCCAGGAGUUAUCAAUGAAACACAGAAAUCUUAGCUACAUUAGGACUUCCAUAGGCUUUAAUAAGUGAUUUAUUAACAUUCAUCAUCAGCAAUGUCUAAAAAAGUAGAAGUUCCAAUCUUAUCCAUAUACUACUUUCAGUUAUCCUUAAUGCUCUUCAAAUGAUUGGAUUACGAUACCUAAAGUAUCCGAAAAGUGUGGUACAAAAUUCUGCUCUCUGUUGAGAGCCUGCUUAAUCAAAUCUAAUGAAGAGUGGAAUUUGAGAAAAAGUCUGCACAAUAUUCAGAAAACUCAAC
rnacentral:lncRNA from 1 species